rnacentral:rRNA from 1 species
GACGAACGCUGGCGGCGUGCUUCAUACAUGCAAGUCGAACGAGAAGCUGACUUCGGUCAGUGGAAAGUGGCGGACGGGUGAGUAAUAUGUAGGAAAUCUGCCUUUAGGAGGGGGACAACAGAGGGAAACUUCUGCUAAUACCCCAUAUGAGCGUAGCUGAAAUGCUAUUCUUGAAAACUCCGGUGCCUAAAGAUGAGCCUGCAUCUGAUUAGCUAGUUGGUAGUGUAAUGGACUACCAAGGCGACGAUCAGUAGCUGGUUUGAGAGGAUGAUCAGCCACAAUGGGACUGAGACACGGCCCAUACUCCUACGGGAGGCAGCAGUAGGGAAUUUUGAGCAAUGGGCGAAAGCCUGACGCAGCAACGCCGCGUGAACGAUUAAGCCCUUCGGGGUGUAAAGUUCUGUCAGUGGGGACGAAACUUGACGGUACCCACAGAGGAAGCACCGGCUAACUCCGUG